rnacentral:rRNA from 1 species
GAUGAACGCUGGCGGCGUGCCUAAUACAUGCAAGUCGAGCGAACGGACGAGAAGCUUGCUUCUCUGAUGUUAGCGGCGGACGGGUGAGUAACACGUGGAUAACCUACCUAUAAGACUGGGAUAACUUCGGGAAACCGGAGCUAAUACCGGAUAAUAUUUUGAACCGCAUGGUUCAAAAGUGAAAGACGGUCUUGCUGUCACUUAUAGAUGGAUCCGCGCUGCAUUAGCUAGUUGGUAAGGUAACGGCUUACCAAGGCAACGAUGCAUAGCCGACCUGAGAGGGUGAUCGGCCACACUGGAACUGAGACACGGUCCAGACUCCUACGGGAGGCAGCAGUAGGGAAUCUUCCGCAAUGGGCGAAAGCCUGACGGAGCAACGCCGCGUGAGUGAUGAAGGUCUUCGGAUCGUAAAACUCUGUUAUUAGAGAAGAACAUAUGUGUAAGUAACUGUGCACAUCUUGACGGUACCUAAUCAGAAAGCCACGGCUAACUACGUGCCAGCAGCCGCGGUAAUACGUAGGUGGCAAGCGUUAUCCGGAAUUAUUGGGCGUAAAGCGCGCGUAGGCGGUUUUUUAAGUCUGAUGUGAAAGCCCACGGCUCAACCGUGGAGGGUCAUUGGAAACUGGAAAACUUGAGUGCAGAAGAGGAAAGUGGAAUUCCAUGUGUAGCGGUGAAAUGCGCAGAGAUAUGGAGGAACACCAGUGGCGAAGGCGACUUUCUGGUCUGUAACUGACGCUGAUGUGCGAAAGCGUGGGGAUCAAACAGGAUUAGAUACCCUGGUAGUCCACGCCGUAAACGAUGAGUGCUAAGUGUUAGGGGGUUUCCGCCCCUUAGUGCUGCAGCUAACGCAUUAAGCACUCCGCCUGGGGAGUACGACCGCAAGGUUGAAACUCAAAGGAAUUGACGGGGACCCGCACAAGCGGUGGAGCAUGUGGUUUAAUUCGAAGCAACGCGAAGAACCUUACCAAAUCUUGACAUCCUUUGACAACUCUAGAGAUAGAGCUUUCCCCUUCGGGGGACAAAGUGACAGGUGGUGCAUGGUUGUCGUCAGCUCGUGUCGUGAGAUGUUGGGUUAAGUCCCGCAACGAGCGCAACCCUUAAGCUUAGUUGCCAUCAUUAAGUUGGGCACUCUAAGUUGACUGCCGGUGACAAACCGGAGGAAGGUGGGGAUGACGUCAAAUCAUCAUGCCCCUUAUGAUUUGGGCUACACACGUGCUACAAUGGACAAUACAAAGGGCAGCGAAACCGCGAGGUCAAGCAAAUCCCAUAAAGUUGUUCUCAGUUCGGAUUGUAGUCUGCAACUCGACUACAUGAAGCUGGAAUCGCUAGUAAUCGUAGAUCAGCAUGCUACGGUGAAUACGUUCCCGGGUCU